rnacentral:sRNA from 1 species
GCUGGGUAUGGGGGCUUACACCUGUAAUCCCAGCAACUGGGGAGGCUGAGGCAGGAGGAUCUCAAGUUUAGGUCAGCCUUAGCAACUUAGCAAGGCCCUCAGCAACUUAGUGAAAUCCUGACUCAA